GCAGACACAUUACAGCCAAUCGGCAGCAGACCCUCCCUCCCAGACCCUCCCACCUCCUGCACAGCAUCCAUUUUGAAGCUGCAUUCUUAGUCAGCUGUCCAGGAGGUGGGAGGGUCUGGGAGGGAGGGUCUGCUGCUGAUUGGUUAUAACAAAUAG